rnacentral:rRNA from 1 species
UACAGAGGGUGCGAGCGUUGUCCGGAAUCAUUGGGCGUAAAGAGCUCGUAGGCGGUUCAGCAAGUCGGGUGUGAAACCUCCAGGCUCAACCUGGAGACGCCACCCGAUACUGCUGUGACUUGAGUCCGGUAGGGGACCACGGAAUUCCUGGUGUAGCGGUGAAAUGCGCAGAUAUCAGGAGGAACACCGGUGGCGAAGGCGGUGGUCUGGGCCGGAACUGACGCUGAGGAGCGAAAGCGUGGGGAGCGAACAGG